AUACCGCAUGAGACCAGGGAUGCUUCGGCAACUGCGGUCAAAGCUGGCCUCUUCAUGAAAGCUAGCACCCAAGGACGAGCCUGCGGCCCAUCAUUGCUAGUUGGUAGGGUAACGGCCUACCAAGGCUAAGACGGGUAGCUGGUCUGAGAGGAUGAUCAGCCACACUGGCACUGAAACACGGGCCAGACUCCUACGGGAGGCAGCAGUGGGGAAUAUUGGACAAUGGGCGCAAGCCUGAUCCAGCGACGCCGCGUGAGUGAUGAAGGCCUUCGGGUUGUAAAGCUCUGUUGAGGGAGAAGAAAACGGCUGGCGUGAAUAACUCCAGUCCUUGACGGUAUCCCUUUAGAAAGCACCGGCUAACUCUGUGCCAGCAGCCGCGGUAAGACAGAGGGUGCAAACGUUGCUCGGAAUUACUGGGCGUAAAGCGCGUGUAGGCGGGCCUUCAAGUCGGACGUGAAAGCCCUGGGCUCAACCCAGGAACUGCAUCCGAAACGGAGGCCGGAGUGGUGGAGAGGGAAGCAGAAUUCCUGGUGUAGAGGUGAAAUUCGUAGAUAUCAGGAGGAACACCGGUGGCGAAGGCGGCUUCCUGGACACUUACUGACGCUGAGACGCGAAAGCGUGGGGAGCAAACAGGAUUAGAUACCCUGGUAGUCC
rnacentral:rRNA from 1 species